rnacentral:rRNA from 1 species
CCUACGGGUGGCUGCAGUGAGGAAUAUUGGUCAAUGGACGAGAGUCUGAACCAGCCAAGUAGCGUGAAGGAUGACUGCCCUAUGGGUUGUAAACUUCUUUUAUAUAGGAAUAAAAUGUUGCACGUGUGCGUUUUUGUAUGUACUUUAUGAAUAAGGAUCGGCUAACUCCGUGCCAGCAGCCGCGGUAAUACGGAGGAUCCGAGCGUUAUCCGGAUUUAUUGGGUUUAAAGGGAGCGGAGGUGGGAUGUUAAGUCAGGUGUUAAAGUUGGGGGGUUAACCCUUACAGUGCGGUUGAUACUGGCUGUCUUGAGUACAGUUGAGGUAGGCGGAAUGCGUGGUGUAGCGGUGAAAUGCAUAGAUAUCACGAAGAACCCCGAUUGCGAAGGCAGUUUACUAAACUGUGACUGACACUGAUGCUCGAAAGUGUGGGUAUCAAACAGGAUUAGAUACCCUUGUAGUC